ACCUAUGUAAUUAUACUAAUGAUAAUUAAUGCUCAGGUUUCUUCAAUUUUAUCUAGACGAACUUCCACAUUCUCUAAUGAUAUUAUCCUUGAAAGACAAUCCUUGUGCAAACAAGGAGGACCAUAGGUAACAUAUACGUAAUGUAGUAGGUAUAAUAUACACUUAAAUAUCUGCUUCCGAGUUAAAUAGUUUUGUUUUGGACUCUCAGUGUUUCCCGUGACUAAGUCGAGACCAUUUUUUUCCUGAGGGAACAGACAUUAAUUGUUAUAUAACGACGAAUGAAAAAUCAACAACAUUUUACAUGUGAAAGAAAAAUAACGCCGUGAGGAUAAGAUUUUUAUUUCACUCUUCUACUGUUCUGGGAAUCUCAAUAGUUAUAGAAUAAACUGGUAUAUAGACUGGAGUGGUAGGGCUUCGGUGGCGAAGUCGUCAGAGCAAGAGCAUUUCACCUCUGAGAUAGUGGGUUCGAUUCUCGCUACGAACUCGUGUGAAACGAGUCUGUCAACGUUCUGUCGAAAGUCGUGGGUUGUCUCCGGGCCCUCCGAUUUCCUCCCACACGGCAAGGUGGCAGGCAACCUCGUACCCAGGCUCUUACCUUCGCACCCUGGGUACGAGGUUGGUUGGCAGAGUGCGUUAGGAUAAAACGCAGUUAGGAAAGUAAUAUCACAAUUAAGUUCUUUGAAUGUUUGCAUGGCGAUAAAAUAUAAUUGUUUUUGUUUGUGGAAACACCACGUAAAUUUAUUACUGCAAAGCUUUCGAUCCGUAAGCCCGGAUCUUCAUCAGUGCUAAUAAAAAUUAAAAAAAGUUAAAAAUAAAAAAUUAAAUUCAACAAGUCACAUAUUAUUAGCACUGAUGAAGAUCCGGGCUUACGGAUCGAAAGCUUUGCAGUAAUAAAUUUAUACGUGGUGUUUCCACAAACAAGAACAAUUAAUAUCACAAUUGUUGUAAAGAUAAAAAGUCUUGAGCUAAGUAAGUAACAUAUAUAAAUAUAAGCGCCAUACUCGAUGUAAUCGUAAUGUUCGGGAAUUGCAUCAUUUACAUAAAUCGGAGAAGUGAAAACUUGGAGCAUUAAAGACUUUUCCACUGCAAGCGUAUCGUAAAGUAUCGUAGCAUUUUCUUUUAUGUCGAAGUCAUCAGUUCCACUCUAGGACUCAGGAAACAAAUACGCUACGCUUCGCCACGACAGGAUUGAUGUGAAAAAGGCCUUAAGAAACGUCGAAAUUCUGCUUGAAGUGAAAUCUUCUAUUUAUCGACAGAAUUUGUAAACACGACCCUGUUAGCCUAUACUUAUCUUCGGCUUAAUAUUAAAAAGUGAAAAUUAUGUAAUAUCUAAUUAUUAUAGAAGCAGAAUUACUCAAGUAUUGGUCAAUUUGAAAGAGCUGGACGGGAUUCCGGUCGAUCAGACAGAUGAUGAUCAUGAUGACGAUGUUUACAG